rnacentral:lncRNA from 1 species
CAGAUGCCAGCCAUCGCCGUGCUGGCCGCGGCCGCCGCGGCGUGCUGCUUCCUGCAAGUCGAGAGCCGGCACCUGGACGCGUUCGCUCGAGGCGCGGGCCUCAACAACGGCAAUUUCCUAGACAAUGACCAGUGGCUGAGCACCGUCUCCCAGUACGACAGGGACAAGUACUGGAACCGCUUCCGAGACGGCCUGGGAAUAGGUUAAGGUCUGACCCCUGUGACUGCUUCUGAGAGCCAGCAAUGACACUGUGGUGUCCUACAUGGUGUGGAUUCCACUUCCACUUAUACUUACUAAUGGAGAAUUAAUUAUAGUCCAACAUGAAAUAAUACAGGGCAACCAUCAUCUCGGCCAAGCAGCAUAAAACACACCUCAUUCCUACUCCAGAUGGUUGUCAAUAAAAAGUGACAUUUAAAACUGCUGACUAAAUUCAAGUCUGUGAAAUGCUUUCUUCCAGAAAUUCAUUUUGCAAGUCUGUUUUGUUCUGAUGCCUGUAAGUACAUUAAUCUCACAUGAACUAGAAUAUCUACAAUGGUUGUACAUUUUCCUAAAAGCUUUUCCAAGAGAGACCUAACCACUUCUACUGAAACAAAUGAAAACCUUUUUGAUUCAAGGGAACUGAAAUAAAUGAAUCUAUUUUCUCCAAGACACGACAGCUUUGCACUUGUAACCUGUCUUCUCUGGGUUUUCAGCGCUGGCCUCAAGGUGAAAUCUUCAUGAACAGAUGGGGCUUCUCAUGGCUCCUGUGGAGGGAGAUAGAAACACCUCUAAGAUAACACUAAUGUAUG